UACGGGGGGGGCAAGCGUUGUUCGGAAUUACUGGGCGUAAAGGGCGCGUAGGCGGCCUUCUAAGUCGGACGUGAAAUCCCUCGGCUUAACCGAGGAACUGCGUCCGAUACUGGAUGGCUUGAGUUUGGGAGAGGGGUGUAGAAUUCCCGGUGUAGUGGUGGAAUGCGUAGAUAUCGGGGGGAAUACCAGUGGCGAAAGCGGCACCCUAGCGUUAGCCUGACGCUUAUGUGCGAAAGCGUGGGGAGCGAACGGG
rnacentral:rRNA from 1 species